rnacentral:rRNA from 1 species
GUGAGGAAUUUUCUGCAAUGGGCGAAAGCCUGACAGAGCAAUACCGCGUGAGGGAAGAAGGCUUACUGAGUUGUAAACCUCGGUGCCUUAAGGAAGAAGAUCUGACGGUACUUAAGGUGGAAAGCAUCGGCUAACCCCGUGCCAGCAGCCGCGGUAAGACGGGGGAUGCAAGUGUUAUCCGGAAUUACUGGGCGUAAAGCGUCUGCAGGUGGUUUCUUAAGUCCACUGUUAAACCUUGAGGCUCAACCUCAAAUCUGCAGUGGAAACUAGGGAACUUGAGGAUAGUAGGGGUAGAGGGAAUUUCCAGUGGAGCGGUGAAAUGCGUAGAUAUUGGAAAGAACACCGAUGGCGAAGGCACUCUACUGGGCUAUGACUGACACUCAGAGACGAAAGCUAGGGGAGCAAAUGGGAUUAGAAACCCUUGUAGUCC